rnacentral:rRNA from 1 species
UACGUAGGGGGCUAGCGUUGUCCGGAAUCAUUGGGCGUAAAGAGCGUGUAGGCGGCCCGGUAAGUCCGCUGUGAAAGUCGGGGGCUCAACCCUCGAAUGCCGGUGGAUACUGUCGGGCUAGAGUGCGGAAGAGGCGAGUGGAAUUCCUGGUGUAGCGGUGAAAUGCGUAGAGAUCGGAAAGAACACCAACGGCGAAAGCACUCUGCUGGGCCGACACUGACACUGAGAGACGAAAGCUAGGGGAGCGAAUGGG